AGUGAACGCUGGCGGUAGGCCUAACACAUGCAAGUCGAACGGCAGCACAGUAAGAGCUUGCUCUUACGGGUGGCGAGUGGCGGACGGGUGAGGAAUACAUCGGAAUCUACUUUUUCGUGGGGGAUAACGUAGGGAAACUUACGCUAAUACCGCAUACGACCUACGGGUGAAAGCAGGGGAUCUUCGGACCUUGCGCGAUUGAAUGAGCCGAUGUCGGAUUAGCUAGUUGGCAGGGUAAAGGCCCACCAAGGCGACGAUCCGUAGCUGGUCUGGGAGGAUGGACAGCCACACUAGCACUGAGACACGUUCCAGACUCCAACGGCAGGCAGCAGUGUGGAAUAUUCGACAAUGUGCGCAAGCCUGAUCCAGCCAUACCGCGUAAGUCAGGAAGGCCUUCUGUUUGUAGAGCCCUUUUUUUCGGAAAUAAAAGCAGCGCAUUAAUACCCCGCUUUUCUGACGGUACCCAAAGAAUAAGCACCGGCUAACUUCGUG
rnacentral:rRNA from 1 species